AUAUCAAUAAGCGNAGGAAAAGAAACCAACAGGGAUUGCCCCAGUAACGGCGAGUGAAGCGGCAACAGCUCAAAUUUGAAAUCUGGCCCCAGGCCCGAGUUGUAAUUUGCAGAGGAUGCUUUUGGCGCGGUGCCUUCCGAGUUCCCUGGAACGGGACGCCAUAGAGGGUGAGAGCCCCGUACGGUUGGACACCAAGCCUUUGUAAAGCUCCUUCGACGAGUCGAGUAGUUUGGGAAUGCUGCUCUAAAUGGGAGGUACAUUUCUUCUAAAGCUAAAUAUUGGCCAGAGACCGAUAGCGCACAAGUAGAGUGAUCGAAAGAUGAAAAGCACUUUGAAAAGAGGGUUAAACAGCACGUGAAAUUGUUAAAAGGGAAGCGCUUGUGACCAGACUUGCGUCCGGUGAAUCACCCAGCUCUCGCGGCUGGGGCACUUCGCCGGCACAGGCCAGCAUCAGCUUGCCGUCGGGGACAAAAGCUUCAGGAACGUGGCUCCUCUCGGGGAGUGUUAUAGCCUGUUGCAUAAUACCCUUCGGCGGGCUGAGGUACGCGCUCCGCAAGGAUGCUGGCGUAAUGGUCAUCAGCGACCCGUCUUGAAACACGGACCAAGGAGUCAACCUUAUGUGCGAGUGUUUGGGUGUCAAACCCCUACGCGUAAUGAAAGUGAACGCAGGUGAGAGCUUCGGCGCAUCAUCGACCGAUCCUGAUGUUCUCGGAUGGAUUUGAGUAAGAGCAUAUAGGGUUGGACCCGAAAGAAGGUGAACUAUGCGUGUGUAGGGUGAAGCCAGAGGAAACUCUGGUGGAGGCUCGCAGCGGUUCUGACGUGCAAAUCGAUCGUCAAACAUGCGCAUGGGGGCGAAAGACUAAUCGAACCUUCUAGUAGCUGGUUUCC
rnacentral:rRNA from 1 species